rnacentral:rRNA from 1 species
GUCUCCUGAAGGAAUGUUGAAGACGACGACGUUGAUAGGCCGGGUGUGUAAGCGCAGCGAUGCGUUGAGCUAACCGGUACUAAUGAACCGUGAGGCUUAACCUU